rnacentral:tRNA from 1 species
GGAGAGAUGUCUGAGCGGUUGAAAGAGCACGAUUGGAAAUAGUGUAUGUCAUAAAAUGCGCAUCGAGCGUUCGAAUCCCUCUCUCUCCGCCA